GCGCGGUUAGCUCAGUGGUAGAGCGCCACAUUGACAUUGUGGAGGCCGCAGGAUCGUUCCCUGCACCGCGCA
rnacentral:tRNA from 1 species